AAUAACAAAGGAAUGGUGGGGAAGCAUGUCACGUGAUUAUCAUGCGCACGCGACAGCACGGCCGGUGUGCUGGGCGUUGAGAAAGGGUACGGAGUGGACUGUGCCUCAAUCUUAUGAUUUCGAUCCCCUGCGCAGUGUGUGAGGAAACUGCAAAAUCAUUGAGGAGAGAGAGAGAGAAAAGCAGAUGGGAAGUAGGGGCAGAGGCGGCGGAAAUUACAGAAACCCAUGUCUCACUAUGCACCAGCCCCCAUGGGCUUCUUUGCUGGUUCACGGUAUCAAGCGC
rnacentral:lncRNA from 1 species